UACAGAGGUCUCGAGCGUUAGGCGGAAUCACUGGGCUUAAAGCGUGUGUAGGCGGAUUGGUAAGUACCUUGUGAAAUCCCACGGCUUAACCUGGAACUGCUUGGUAUACUGGGUGUCUUGAGCCACUUAGGGGCGACCGGAACAAACGGUGGAGCGGUGAAAUGCGUAGAUAUCGUUUGGAACGCCAAUGGUGAAAACAGGUCGCUGGGAGUGCGCUGACGCUGAGACACGAAAGCCAGGGGAGCGAACGGG
rnacentral:rRNA from 1 species